AGACGUCAUUUAAAGACAGUGUCUCCCUCCGGGUGGAUACCUCCUGACCCGGUCCACAGCCACAUUGGUUCUGGAAGUGGAAUGCCCAGAAUCAAGCAAGGUUUAGGCCUUAAUUUGGCUGUUGCCGUAUCAGAAUCAGGGCCUCAGAAAAAAUAAACUGUGGGGCUUACGGUAAGUGUCACUCUUUGGUGAAGCCACCGCAAAGCUUCCCAAGCGCCGCCCUCGAACCCAGGCUGGCUUCCCACUAAGAACAUGGCUGUCCCACCGCCCUCAGAUUGGCCUGAGAACUGCUUUUAUUAAUAAAUCUCUGGAAACUGAGAUAAAAUUCGCGCAAGAGAAUAACAACAUACUUCGAAAUUUAUAUUGAAAUGAAAUCACCAAAAACGCUGGAAGAAGACUCUUGUUGAGAUUUGCUGCAAUGAAUAUGAGCUCCUGCCUGAUCAAACAACCUCUCAAACCUUAGGGCAAAACCUGCACUGGGCAAAACCUCAGCUUGUGGCUGAGAAGGAUAUCCGCCACAGGGCUCCUGGCAAGGGUACAUUUCCCGGCGAGUGAAGAGAACCAAGGCUUGAUCAAAAAUUCGUGGUGUGUUUACAAGAAGAAAAAUAAGGGAUGAGGUGAAGCAAAUUCCACAAACAUCCCAGCAAUCAUGAGCAACUCCUUUUGAAUGGUGUCUACUGUGAUCUCUUAUAGCGUGAUGUGCACAUACAUACAGAAGAAUAAAUGCAUUGCACUUCACCCACUGUGUUCUCACACACAAAGGAGUGAACUCAGAACUGCCAUUACUGCUGACAUGGAUGUUCAUUGCCAAGAGGUUGGAAUAAAGGAAAAUCAUUUGAAAUGUCCUUCAAGGAAACGAAGACAGUGGUAGUAAUUCCCAACAUGACACUCCCUUUAUAUACUAUCUAUGCAGAUGGUACUGUGCUCCACCAACCUUCCUAUGUCUGGCUCGAGAUGUUUAAAUCUCCCAAACAAGUUAUCAUCAAAGAAUUCUCCUUCCCAAAUAUAGAUGUGGAUUUGAUCACUGACACUGCGUGUGUGUGUGUGUGUGUGUGUGUGUGUGUGUGUGUGUGUCUUUCUACUUAUGCCCUUUGCAUUUUCCCUAGAUUUUAACUUCACUUACAAUAAAAGAAAAAGGCAUUUGGAAUG
rnacentral:lncRNA from 1 species